UACGGAGGAUGCAAGCGUUAUCCGGAAUGAUUGGGCGUAAAGCGUCCGCAGGUGGCUGUGUAAGUCUGCUGUUAAAGAGUCUAGCUCAACUAGAUAAGAGCAGUGGAAACUACACGGCUAGAGUACGUUCGGGGCAGAGGGAAUUCCUGGUGUAGCGGUGAAAUGCGUAGAGAUCAGGAAGAACAUCGGUGGCGAAGGCGCUCUGCUGGACCAUAACUGACACUCAGGGACGAAAGCUAGGGGAGCGAAUGGG
rnacentral:rRNA from 1 species